rnacentral:rRNA from 1 species
CAGCCGCCACGGUAAUACGAAGGGGGCUAGCGUUGUUCGGAAUUACUGGGCGUAAAGCGCGCGUAGGCGGAUAUUUAAGUCAGGGGUGAAAUCCCAGAGCUCAACUCUGGAACUGCCUUUGAUACUGGGUAUCUUGAGUAUGGAAGAGGUGAGUGGAAUUCCGAGUGUAGAGGUGAAAUUCGUAGAUAUUCGGAGGAACACCAGUGGCGAAGGCGGCUCACUGGUCCAUUACUGACGCUGAGGUGCGAAAGCGUGGGGAGCAAACAGGAUUAGAUACCCCCGUAGUCCCUGUCUCUUAUAC